GAUGAACGCUGGCGGCGUGCCUAAUACAUGCAAGUCGAGCGAACGGACGAGAAGCUUGCUUUUCUGAUGUUAGCGGCGGACGGGUGAGUAACACGUGGAUAACCUACCUAUAAGACUGGGAUAACUUCGGGAAACCGGAGCUAAUACCGGAUAAUAUUUUGAACCGCAUGGUUCAAAAGUGAAAGACGGUCUUGCUGUCACUUAUAGAUGGAUCCGCGCUGCAUUAGCUAGUUGGUAAGGUAACGGCUUACCAAGGCAACGAUGCAUAGCCGACCUGAGAGGGUGAUCGGCCACACUGGAACUGAGACACGGUCCAGACUCCUACGGGAGGCAGCAGUAGGGAAUCUUCCGCAAUGGGCGAAAGCCUGACGGAGCAACGCCGCGUGAGUGAUGAAGGUCUUCGGAUCGUAAAACUCUGUUACUGGGGAAGAACAUAUGUGUAAGUAACUGUGCACAUCUUGACGGUACCUAAUCAGAAAGCCACGGCUAACUACGUG
rnacentral:rRNA from 1 species